CAAAUCUUGAUUUUUUAAAUUACCUAUAUGAUUGUAGAUUUAUUAGUUACUAGAAUACUGUCUUUCUAAGCAAGACAAAAAUUUUGAUUUUGUCAAUAUCGGUUUAUCAGUGAUGUGAUAUCCGAGAUGUGACAAUUUAGCACUUUUCCAUCAUUGGAGCAGGAGCAUAGAACAAGGCUUAUAGACUAAGGCGGGAGACAACUGCUGAUUGUCUUUAUCUAUGUUUAUCUCUGGUUACGCGAAUCACGUGUUUUUCGAAAAUCUUGAGAAUAUUAAAAAUGCAUAUUAAUCGAUGCGAAAAAUAAAUAUGGGUCAAAAUAUGAAAACCGUGCUUGUGCCUCAGUGUUAUGAUGUGUCUCCAAGACGGAAAUUACGGUAUAAUUAUGGCUUAAAACCCCGCAAACAUGGAAAGGUGAUACCGCUGUUCUCGACUUGACGCAUUGAAGACGGUAGGGAUCACGUGAGAAAACCACACACGAAAAAUGUUCGCAUAAAAUAUGGCAAAAAUGUAAAGAUAUGUUGGUGUUUAAAUUAAAUACAUUUGAUUAUAAGAUGCUAGGGAUCACCAGAUCUCCAGAUCCAGUGAGAAAACCACACACGAAAAAUUUUCGCAUAAGAGACAAGUAAGGUUGUCUUAAGCUAAUUAUUCGUCUAUUAAUGUAAAACUAUUAUCUGUAUUUUUUUAUUUUUACCAGUUUAAUUUUGGUUGAUUUCUAUUUUGCGAUAAACAUGUUUUCUUGGAUCGAAGGAAAGCAACAAAAGUAAAAUGAAAGUAAUAUAUCAAUGCAAAUUGCUAUACCUAACUGUAUUUCUAUACAAUAGAAUAAUCUGUGGAUGAACGAAAAUACUCUUCUAUCAA